AGAAAGAUAGAGAAAUCAGAAUUAAAAGAGCAGAACAGAAAAGGGAGAGAGCGUGAAAGCAAGAAGGAGAGGAGAAAAGAGAAGAAAACCUAGACUUUGAUCUUCAAGAGGUACGGAGGACAGUGGAGCUUCUCGCGAGGGUUAGUCAGAGGAGCUAGUCUUUUAGAUAUGCUUUUAGUGAUGGGAGUCAUGCUCUAUUAUGUAACACCGGGGAAACGCUUAGUUUGAACCUUGAUGUUAGGAGUUAUUUUGUGAACUCUCUUUAUUUAUUUUUGGAAUUAUGUUUUAGUUUGGGAUUGAAAAAUAAAUCC